AGUUUGAUCCUGGCUCAGAUUGAACGCUGGCGGCAUGCUUUACACAUGCAAGUCGAACGGCAGCACGAAAGAGCUUGCUCUUUUGGUGGCGAGUGGCGAACGGGUGAGUAAUGCAUCGGAACGUACCGAGUAAUGGGGGAUAACUAUCCGAAAGGAUAGCUAAUACCGCAUACGCUUUGAGAAGGAAAGUGGGGGCUCUUCGGACCUCACGUUAUUCGAGCGGCCGAUGUCUGAUUAGCUAGUUGGUGGGGUAAAGGCCUACCAAGGCGACGAUCAGUAGCGGGUCUGAGAGGAUGAUCCGCCACACUGGGACUGAGACACGGCCCAGACUCCUACGGGAGGCAGCAGUGGGGAAUUUUGGACAAUGGGCGCAAGCCUGAUCCAGCCAUGCCGCGUGUCUGAAGAAGGCCUUCGGGUUGUAAAGGACUUUUGUUAGGGAAGAAAAGGAUAGUGUUAAUACCAUUAUCUGCUGACGGUACCUAAAGAAUAAGCACCGGCUAACUACGUGCCAGCAGCCGCGGUAAUACGUAGGGUGUGAGCGUUAAUCGGAAUUACUGGGCGUAAAGCGAGCGCAGACGGUUUAUUAAGCAAGAUGUGAAAUCCCCGAGCUUAACUUGGGAACUGCGUUUUGAACUGGUAAGCUAGAGUAUGUCAGAGGGGGGUAGAAUUCCACGUGUAGCAGUGAAAUGCGUAGAGAUGUGGAGGAAUACCGAUGGCGAAGGCAGCCCCCUGGGAUAAUACUGACGUUCAUGCUCGAAAGCGUGGGUAGCAAACAGGAUUAGAUACCCUGGUAGUCCACGCCCUAAACGAUGUCAAUUAGCUGUUGGGCAACAUGAUUGCUUAGUAGCGUAGCUAACGCGUGAAAUUGACCGCCUGGGGAGUACGGUCGCAAGAUUAAAACUCAAAGGAAUUGACGGGGACCCGCACAAGCGGUGGAUGAUGUGGAUAAUUCGAUGCAACGCGAAGAACCUACCUGGUCUUGAC
rnacentral:rRNA from 1 species